rnacentral:rRNA from 1 species
GACGAACGCUGGCGGCGUGCUUAACACAUGCAAGUCGAACGGUAAGGCUCCAGCUUGCUGGGGUACACGAGUGGCGAACGGGUGAGUAACACGUGGGUGACCUGCCCUGCACUUCGGGAUAAGCCUGGGAAACUGGGUCUAAUACCGGAUAGGACCGCACCGUGAGGGUGUGGUGGAAAGUUUUUUCGGUGUGGGAUGGGCCCGCGGCCUAUCAGCUUGUUGGUGGGGUAAUGGCCUACCAAGGCGGCGACGGGUAGCCGGCCUGAGAGGGUGGACGGCCACAUUGGGACUGAGACACGGCCCAGACUCCUACGGGAGGCAGCAGUGGGGAAUAUUGCACAAUGGGCGGAAGCCUGAUGCAGCGACGCCGCGUGGGGGAUGACGGCCUUCGGGUUGUAAACUCCUUUCACCAUCGACGAAGGGUUUCUGACGGUAGAUGGAGAAGAAGCACCGGCUAACUACGUGCCAGCAGCCGCGGUAAUACGUAGGGUGCGAGCGUUGUCCGGAAUUACUGGGCGUAAAGAGCUCAUAGGUGGUUUGUCGCGUCGUCUGUGAAAUUCCGGGGCUUAACUCCGGGCGUGCAGGCGAUACGGGCAUAACUUGAGUACUGUAGGGGAGACUGGAAUUCCUGGUGUAGCGGUGAAAUGCGCAGAUAUCAGGAGGAACACCGGUGGCGAAGGCGGGUCUCUGGGCAGUAACUGACGCUGAGGAGCGAAAGCAUGGGGAGCGAACAGGAUUAGAUACCCUGGUAGUCCAUGCCGUAAACGGUGGGCGCUAGGUGUGGGUUUCCUUCCACGGGAUCCGUGCCGUAGCUAACGCAUUAAGCGCCCCGCCUGGGGAGUACGGCCGCAAGGCUAAAACUCAAAGGAAUUGACGGGGGCCCGCACAAGCGGCGGAGCAUGUGGAUUAAUUCGAUGCAACGCGAAGAACCUUACCUGGGCUUGACAUAUACAGGAUCGCGCCAGAGAUGGUGUUUCCCUUGUGGCUUGUAUACAGGUGGUGCAUGGUUGUCGUCAGCUCGUGUCGUGAGAUGUUGGGUUAAGUCCCGCAACGAGCGCAACCCUUGUCUUAUGUUGCCAGCACGUUGUGGUGGGGACUCGUAAGAAACUGCCGGGGUUAACUCGGAGGAAGGUGGGGAUGACGUCAAAUCAUCAUGCCCCUUAUGUCCAGGGCUUCACACAUGCUACAAUGGUCGGUACAGUGGGUUGCCAGUCCGUGAGGGCGAGCUAAUCCCGCAAAGCCGGUCUCAGUUCGGAUCGGGGUCUGCAACUCGACCCCGUGAAGUCGGAGUCGCUAGUAAUCGCAGAUCAGCAACGCUGCGGUGAAUACGUUCCCGGGCCU